rnacentral:rRNA from 1 species
UACGGAGGGUGCGAGCGUUGUCCGGAAUCACUGGGCGUAAAGGGCGCGUAGGCGGCUCAUGAAGGCUGUGGUGAAAGUCCGGGGCUCAACCUCGGAUCGGCCGUGGCGACUCGUGGGCUGGAGCACUGUAGAGGCGGGUGGAAUUCCGGGGUGUAGCGGUGGAAUGCGUAGAGAUCCGGAAGAACACCAGUGGCGAAGGCGGCCCGCUGGGCAGUGGCUGACGCUGAAGCGCGACAGCGUGGGGAGCAAACAGG